rnacentral:rRNA from 1 species
GACGAACGCUGGCGGCGUGCUUAACACGUGCAAGUCGAACGGAAAGGCCCUUUCGGGGGUGCUCGAGUGGCGAACGGGUGAGUAACACGUGGGUGAUCUGCCCUGCACUUCGGGAUAAGCUUGGGAAACUGGGUCUAAUACCGGAUAGGACCAUGGGAUGCAUGUCUUGUGGUGGAAAGCUUGAUGCGGUGUGGGAUGGGCCCGCGGCCUAUCAGCUUGUUGGUGGGGUGAUGGCCUACCAAGGCGACGACGGGUAGCCGGCCUGAGAGGGUGUCCG